ACCUGGGUGGUGUAAAUGGUUAACACAUUCAGCUGCUAACUGAAAGGUUGUUGGUUACAGUCCACCUGGAGGUG
rnacentral:tRNA from 1 species